rnacentral:rRNA from 1 species
CAGUAGCCGCGGUAAUACGGGGGGGGCAAGUGUUAUUCGGAAUGACUGGGCGUAAAGGGCACGUAGGCGGUGAAAAGGGUGGAAAGUGAAAGUCGCCAAAACACUGGCGGGGUGCUUUCUUGACCAUUUCACUUGAGUGAGAUAGGGGAGAGUGGAAUUUCGUGUGGAGGGAUCAAAUCCUAAGAUAUACGAAGGAACGCCAACCGCGAAGGCAGCUCUCUGGGUCCCCACUGACGCUGGGGUGCGAAAGCAUGGGGAGCAAACAGGAUCAGAUACCCGGGUAGUCCCUGUCUCUUAUACA